CUGAAUAUAAAUUAAAAUUUGUGUCAUGAAAACGAAAGACUUGAGAAAUAAAUAAAAUGUACAGAAAUAAAUUCAGAAAUAUUUAUUGCAGUUCAACUAUAUUGAAUAUAUUUUGAAUACAUAAUUUUUGUCAAACACACUAAGAAUUUCAGUGACAUUGAACAACUUCUUUUAAUCAUAAGAUUGGUUAUUCUUCGUAUCUUGGAAAUAUGGGCCCAUCAAAAGGGGAAUGAGGAUAGGGGGGAUAGUGUGGUAUUGGGGGAAGGCCCGGCCGGUGUGGUGGACCGGGUGGGUGGUGCGGUGGACCGGGAGGGUGGUGUGGUGGACCGGGUGGGUGGUGUGGUGGACCGGGUGGGCGGUGUGGUGGAAGGGGUCGGUCGUGUGGUUUAUGGUGUGGGCGAUGUGGAGGGAAAUCAGGAUUCGGUCGACGAGAUGGCCUUGGACUGACAGAUGGAGUUGGUCUUGAAGGAUGGGAUGGUCUAGUAGGGUGAGAUGGUCUUGGAGGACGGGAUGGUUCAUCAGUAGGAGUUUGUGAAGGGUUGAGUGGAGAUGGUUCAGAACUACUUGGUCGUGGCGGACGGGGUGAUGCAGUAGCACUGUCUUCAACAAAUUCAGUUGGUUGUGGAGAGCGAGAUGUCACCGUAGAACGGGCUGUUGAAGAAUGUGGUGGUCUUGAAUGCUGACGUUUACAUUCUGCAUGCUCUUUUGGCCAAUCGCAUACUCUUAAAUCCGAAUUAUAUUCCAGUCCUUCACUACAUUCCAUUAACUGCGGUACGCCUGCAUUGCAGAAAUAGUAGGUGGAGCAGUCAUCUGGAUUCGGAAACAAGGCAAUAUCCUCUCCGUCCCUAUUUGGACAUUGUGGUGGGAUGGCAGAAGCAAACGUCACCAAAAGUGUGGCAAAUAUUGCCACGAACGUUGCUAUAAUGAUUAUCAGAUGAUUUUAAUUAAUAUCGUAUCUAGUAAUUUAAUAAUUAAGUUAAAAAUAUCGGCAAAAUCUUUAUAUAAAAUGAAAAAUGUUAUGACAAGAUGAAAAUUCUGUUUCUGUAUGUAUAUGUCUAUGUAUAUGCAUUUUCUUGUAUAAUAUAAUAAAGAAGAAGAUUUUAUAGAUGAGAAUUAAAUAAUGUCGAACGUGUAAAUAAGAAAAAUAUUUUCACUAAAAUUAAUAUGUUCCAUUGCACUUCUUCCGAUCAAUCUUAACGUGAACAAUUUUAUUGGAGAUUAUUACAACUAUCUUACCUUUCAUUUUUGCCUUUGAAAGCGCACAAUUUCGUCGUGUAUUCUAUUCCUU
rnacentral:misc_RNA from 1 species